rnacentral:lncRNA from 1 species
CUUGGACUGAAGCUAGGGGCUAUGGAGGUGUUGUUCUGAUAGACAUGGACUGAGGAUAGGGGCUAUGGAGGUGUUGUUCUGAUAGACAUGGACUGAGGAUAGGGGCUAUGGAGGUGUUGUUCUGAUAGACAUGGACUGAAGCUAGGGGCUAUGGAGGUGCUGUUCUGAUAGACAUGGACUGAGGAUAGGGGCUAUGGAGGUGUUGUUCUGAUAGACAUGGACUGAGGAUAAGGGCUAUGGAGGUGCUGUUCUGAUAGACAUGGACUGAGGAUAGGGGCUAUGGAGGUGUUGUUCUGAUAGACAUGGACUGAGGAUAAGGGCUAUGGAGGUGCUGUUCUGAUAGACAUGGACUGAGGAUAAGGG